UUGCUCAAUGGAGGAAACUCUGACGCAGCGACGCCGCGUGCAGGAAGAAGGUUUUCUGGUUGUAAACUGGUUUUUACAGGGAAGAACAAGGACGGUCCGCUGUUGAAUAAUGCUCCGGCUAACUACAGUGCCGACCGCC
rnacentral:rRNA from 1 species